UACGUAGGGUGCGAGCGUUAAUCGGAAUUACUGGGCGUAAAGCGUGCGCAGGCGGUUCGUUGUGUCCGUCGUGAAAGCCCCGGGCUUAACCUGGGAACUGCGAUGGAAACUAGCGAGCUGGAGUGUGGCAGAGGGGGGUGGAAUUCCGCGUGUAGCAGUGAAAUGCGUAGAGAUGCGGAGGAACACCGAUGGCGAAGGCAGCCCCCUGGGCUAACACUGACGCUCAUGCACGAAAGCGUGGGGAGCAAACAGG
rnacentral:rRNA from 1 species